GAUCUGGGCGUAAGCGUGCGUAGGCGGUUCGUUAGUCAGAUGUGAAAGCCCCGGUCUUAACCUGGGAACUGCAUUUGAAACUGGCGGACUAGAGUUGAGUAGAGGGGAGUGGAAUUUCAGGUGUAGCGGUGAAAUGCGUAGAUAUCUGAAGGAACACCAGUGGCGAAGGCGACUCCCUGGACUCAAACUGACGCUGAGGUACGAAAGCGUGGGUAGCAAACAGGAUUAGAUACCCUGGUAGUCCACGCUGUAAACGAUGUCAACUAGCCGUUGGUCCUAUUUACAGGAUUAGUGGCGCAGCUAACGCAUUAAGUUGACCGCCUGGGGAGUACGGCCGCAAGGUUAAAACUCAAAUGAAUUGACGGGGGCCCGCACAAGCGGUGGAGCAUGUGGUUUAAUUCGAUGCAACGCGAAGAACCUUACCUACCCUUGACAUCCAUAGAAUCA
rnacentral:rRNA from 1 species